rnacentral:rRNA from 1 species
GACGAACGCUGGCGGCGUGCUUAACACAUGCAAGUCGAACGGGAAGGCCCUGCUUUUGUGGGGUGCUCGAGUGGCGAACGGGUGAGUAACACGUGAGUAACCUGCCCUUGACUUUAGGAUAACUUCAGGAAACUGGGGCUAAUACCGGAUAGGAGCUCCUGCUGCAUGGUGGGGGUUGGAAAGUUUCGGCGGUUGGGGAUGGACUCGCGGCUUAUCAGCUUGUUGGUGGGGUAGUGGCUUACCAAGGCUUUGACGGGUAGCCGGCCUGAGAGGGUGACCGGCCACAUUGGGACUGAGAUACGGCCCAGACUCCUACGGGAGGCAGCAGUGGGGAAUAUUGCACAAUGGGCGGAAGCCUGAUGCAGCAACGCCGCGUGCGGGAUGACGGCCUUCGGGUUGUAAACCGCUUUCGCCUGUGACGAAGCGUGAGUGACGGUAAUGGGUAAAGAAGCACCGGCUAACUACGUG